rnacentral:rRNA from 1 species
UUAGUUGCCAUCAGGUCAAGCUGGGGACUCUAAUGAAACUGCCUACGCAAGUAGUGAGGAAGGUGGGGAGUGACGUCAAAUCAGCACGGCCCUUACGUCCAGGGCUACACACGUGCUACAAUGGCCGGUACAAAGGGCAGCUACCUGGUGACAGGAUGCUAAUCUCAAAAGCCGGUCUCAGUUCGGAUUGCAGUCUGCAACUCGACUGCAUGAAGCCGGAAUCGCUAGUAAUCGCAGAUCAGCCAAGCUGCGGUGAAUACGUUCCCGGGCCUU